rnacentral:rRNA from 1 species
UACGGGGGGGGCAAGCGUUGUUCGGAAUUACUGGGCGUAAAGGGUCUGUAGGUGGCUUGCUAAGUCAGACGUGAAAUCCCUCGGCUUAACCGGGGAACUGCGUCUGAUACUGGAUGGCUUGAGUUCGGGAGAGGGAUGCGGAAUUCCAGGUGUAGCGGUGAAAUGCGUAGAUAUCUGGAGGAACACCGGUGGCGAAGGCGGCGUUCUGGACUGCAACUGACACUGAGGAACGAAAGCCAGGGGAGCAAACGGG